rnacentral:rRNA from 1 species
CCCAGCCGCCGCGGUAAUACGUAGGUGGCAAGCGUUGUCCGGAAUUAUUGGGCGUAAAGCGCGCGCAGGCGGUCUCUUAAGUCUGAUGUGAAAGCCCACGGCUCAACCGUGGAGGGUCAUUGGAAACUGGGAGACUUGAGUACAGAAGAGGAGAGUGGAAUUCCACGUGUAGCGGUGAAAUGCGUAGAUAUGUGGAGGAACACCAGUGGCGAAGGCGACUCUCUGGUCUGUAACUGACGCUGAGGCGCGAAAGCGUGGGGAGCAAACAGGAUUAGAUACCCUGGUAGUCCACGCCAUAAACGAUGAGUGCUAGGUGUUAGGGGUUUCGAUGCCCUUAGUGCCGAAGUUAACACAUUAAGCACUCCGCCUGGGGAGUACGACCGCAAGGUUGAAACUCAAAGGAAUUGACGGGGGCCCGCACAAGCAGUGGAGCAUGUGGUUUAAUUCGAAGCAACGCGAAGAACCUUACCAGGUCUUGACAUCCUUUGACCACUCUAGAGAUAGAGCUUUCCCCUUCGGGGGACAAAGUGACAGGUGGUGCAUGGUUGUCGUCAGCUCGUGUCGUGAGAUGUCGGGUUAAGUCCCGCAACGAGCGCAACCCUUGAUCUUAGUUGCCAGCAUUCAGUUGGGCACUCUAAGGUGACUGCCGGUGACAAACCGGAGGAAGGUGGGGAUGACGUCAAAUCAUCAUGCCCCUUAUGACCUGGGCUACGCACGUGCUACAAUGGAUGGUACAAAGGGCUGCAAAACCGCGAGGUUGAGCGAAUCCCAUAAAGCCAUUCUCAGUUCGGAUUGUAGGCUGCAACUCGCCUACAUGAAGCCGGAAUUGCUAGUAAUCGCGGAUCAGCAUGCCGCGGUGAAUACGUUCCCGGGCCUUGUACACACCGCCCGUCACACCACGAGAGUUUGUAACACCCGAAGUCGGUGAGGUAACCUUUUGGAGCCAGCCGCCUAAGGUGGGACAGAUGAUUGGGGUGAAGUCGUAACAAGGUAACCA